CCUGAAAGAUGAUCAGGUUGAUAGGUCUGAGGUGGAAGUGUGGCGACACAUGGAGCUGACAGAUACUAAUCGAUCGAGGACUUAACCAA
rnacentral:rRNA from 5 species